UGUUUCGGCAAGGGGGUCAUCCCGACUUACCAACCCGAUGCAAACUGCGAAUACCGGAGAAUGUUAUCACGGGAGACACACGGCGGGUGCUAACGUCCGUCGUGAAGAGGGAAACAACCCAGACCGCCAGCUAAGGUCCCAAAGUCAUGGUUAAGUGGGAAACGAUGUGGGAAGGCCCAGACAGCCAGGAUGUUGGCUUAGAAGCAGCCAUCAUUUAAAGAAAGCGUAAUAGCUCACUGGUCGAGUCGGCCUGCGCGGAAGAUGUAACGGGGCUAAACCAUGCACCGAAGCUGCGGCAGCGACGCUUAUGCGUUGUUGGGUAGGGGAGCGUUCUGUAAGCCUGCGAAGGUGUACUGUGAGGUAUGCUGGAGGUAUCAGAAGUGCGAAUGCUGACAUAAGUAACGAUAAAGCGGGUGAAAAGCCCGCUCGCCGGAAGACCAAGGGUUCCUGUCCAACGUUAAUCGGGGCAGGGUGAGUCGACCCCUAAGGCGAGGCCGAAAGGCGUAGUCGAUGGGAAACAGGUUAAUAUUCCUGUACUUGGUGUUACUGCGAAGGGGGGACGGAGAAGGCUAUGUUGGCCG
rnacentral:rRNA from 1 species